AUUGAACGCUGGCGGCAGGCCUAACACAUGCAAGUCGAGCGAGCGGCGGACGGGAGAGUAGUGUAUGGGAAUCUGCCCGAUAGAGGGGGAUAACUACUGGAAACGGUGUCUAAUCCCGCAUACUAUCGGAUGAACCCAUAGGGGUUUAGCUCGUAGGUGGGGUAAAGGCUAACCUAGGCGACGAUCGCUACCUGGUCUGAGAGGAUGAUCAGCCACACUGGUACUGAGACACGGCCCAGACUCCUACGGGAGGCAGCAGUGGGGAAUAUUGCACAAUGGGCGCAAGCCUGAUGCAGCCAUGCCGCGUGUAUGAAGAAGGCCUUAAGGUUGUAAAGUACUUUCAGCGGGGAGGCGUUACCCGCAGAAGAAGCACCGGCUAACUCCGUGCCAGCAGCCGCGGUAAUUC
rnacentral:rRNA from 1 species